rnacentral:lncRNA from 10 species
CAAUGCGCAUGCCCGAGGCGCGAGAGGAUUAUCCCGUCACAGUGAUUCCCACAGUUGCCUGAGAAACCAGUCCCUGAGGCUUGGCAAAGCAGGAGCCCUCCGUGGCAGUGCUUGGGUGUCCGGGCUCCGAGACUCCGGCCUGACCUCUCCAUGGGGUCGAAAGGACGGUCUCUGGAUGCCAGGAGUCGCGGAGGGCGGACCAGCAUGAGGAAACCAUUGGCGGAAAAUGGCAGAAGCAGUGCGGCAUCCCAGCCUCAACUGCCGGGACGGUGUUCAAGUGUUCUAUGAUUUUCGUUGGCAUCGAUGGAAAGGUCACCUGUGCCCCCCUUCCUCCGGAACAUGCCUGGACACCAUUGUUUGUUUCGCCAUCGCCCCGUAUGCCCUCUGUGACACACAUUCACAGCAUCUGCUCUUGAAUACACCAGUGCCACGUGUGGUCACACUGGCUCUACUUUGGAUUUGCCCCUUUCCCUGUUUGCACGUGUCCUGCACUUUUACCAGAAGGUGGUAAAAGUAAGAGAAGAAUAAAAUUUUGGACAUGUAAAAUUCAUGUCUUCUAUAGAGUAACUGGGUAAAGAUAUCCAUCAGACUGUUAUAUAUGC